rnacentral:rRNA from 1 species
CCUACGGGUGGCAGCAGUGGGGAAUAUUGCGCAAUGGGCGAAAGCCUGACGCAGCGACGCCGCGUGAGGGAUGAAGGUCUUCGGAUCGUAACCCUCUGUCAGCAGGGAAGAACGGUCACUGUGCUAAUCAGCAGUGAAUUGACGGUCCCUGCACAGGAAGCACCGGCUAACUCCGUGCCAGCAGCCGCGGUAAUACGGAGGGUGCGAGCGUUAAUCGGAAUUACUGGGCGUAAAGCGCUCGUAGGCGGUAUGUCAAGUCAAGGGUGAAAUCCCCGCGCUCAACGUGGGAACUGCCUUUGAUACUGGCAAACUGGAGUGUGUGAGAGGAUAGUGGAAUUCCAGGUGUAGGAGUGAAAUGCGUAGAUAUCUGGAGGAACAUCAGUGGCGAAGGCGACUAUCUGGCACAUAACUGACGCUGAGGAGCGAAAGCGUGGGUAGCAAACAGGAUUAGAUACCCGUGUAGUC